rnacentral:rRNA from 1 species
UACGGAGGAUGCGAGCGUUAUCCGGAUUUAUUGGGUUUAAAGGGUGCGCAGGCGGAUUUUUAAGUCAGCGGUCAAAUCGUGGGGCUCAACCCCAUCCAGCCGUUGAAACUGGGGAUCUAGAGUGUGCGAGAGGUAUGCGGAAUGCGUGGUGUAGCGGUGAAAUGCAUAGAUAUCACGCAGAACCCCGAUUGCGAAGGCAGCAUACCGGUGCACAACUGACGCUCAGGCGCGAAAGCGUGGGUAUCGAACAGG